rnacentral:piRNA from 1 species
UAGGAAGUUUGUUGUGUAUGGGCAAU